UACAGAGGGUGCAAGCGUUAAUCGGAAUUACUGGGCGUAAAGCGCACGUAGGCGGCUUGGUAUGUCGGGUGUGAAAUCCCCGGGCUCAACCUGGGAACUGCAUCCGAAACUGCCUUGCUGGAGUAUGGGAGAGGGAAGCGGAAGUUCCGGUGUAGCGGUGAAAUGCGUAGAUAUCGGAAGGAACAUCAGUGGCGAAGGCGGCUUCCUGGCCCAAUACUGACGCUCAGGUGCGAAAGCGUGGGGAGCAAACAGG
rnacentral:rRNA from 1 species